AUUGAACGCUGGCGGCAGGCCUAACACAUGCAAGUCGAGCGGAUGAGAGGAGCUUGCUCCUUGAUUCAGCGGCGGACGGGUGAGUAAUGCCUAGGAAUCAGCCUGAUAGUGGGGGACAACGUUUCGAAAGGAACGCUAAUACCGCAUACGUCCUACGGGAGAAAGUGGGGGAUCUUCGGACCUCACGCUAUCAGAUGAGCCUAGGUCGGAUUAGCUAGUUGGUGAGGUAAUGGCUCACCAAGGCGACGAUCCGUAACUGGUCUGAGAGGAUGAUCAGUCACACUGGAAAUGAGACACGGGCCAGACUCCUACGGGAGGCAGCAGUGGGGAAUAUUGGACAAUGGGCGAAAGCCUGAUCCAGCCAUGCCGCGUGUGUGAAGAAGGUCUUCGGAUUGUAAAGCACUUUAAGUUGGGAGGAAGGGUUGUAGAUUAAUACUCUGCAAUUUGACGUUACCGACAGAAUAAGCACCGGCUAACUCCGUGCCAGCCGCCGCCGUAAAAC
rnacentral:rRNA from 1 species